AAUAGCCUAACGGCUGAACCAGCAACUUGGAGGAAUGGUUAGCAAUAGCUAAUUGCACCAACAAACAGUUGAUGCAAAAUCGACUAUGUUGAAUAAAAUUCUAGGUAGAAUUAUGAUAAUGACAUUGUCUGCCUAUGUGUCUUGACCAAAUUACGUGCCAGCCGUCGCGGUAAUACGUAGAAGACUAGUGUUAUUCAUCUUUAAUAGGUUUAAAGGGUACCUAGACGGUAAAUCAAGCCUUAACGAGGGACUAUUUUACUAGAGUUUAAUAUGAGGGGGCUUUAAAGUACUAAUGGUGUAGAGAUGAAAUUCUGUCAUACCCCUUUUCGAUGGAAGAAAGAUGGCACUGGUAUAGGCGAAAGCAUCCUCUUAUGCUAUAACUGACGUUGAAGGACGAAGGCUUUUUGUAGCGAACAGGAUUAGAUACCCCAGUAGUCAAAGCAGAAAAUGAUGAAUGUCAUAGAUUAGAUUUAUAUUUAUUCUAUAAAUGAAAGUGUAAGCAUUCCACCUCAAGAGUAAUUUGGCAACAUUGGAACUGAAAUCAUUAGACCGUUUCUGAAACCAGUAGUGAAGUAUGUUGUUUAAUUUGAUAAUCCGCAAAAAACCUUACCACAAUUUGAAUAUUUAUAUUAGAAAAAAAAAUAAUAUAUUUACAAGCGUUGCACGGCUGUUUCUAGUUAAUGUCGCGAGAUUUUGGUUAGGUCCAUUAAAUUAACGCAAACCCUUACUUUAUUUUUAUAUAAAGUAGUUCUCCGCUAGAUUGGAUAAGAUAACAGGGAUUAAGACAAGUCAUCAUGGCCUAAAUAUUGUGGGCUAUAGACGUGCCACGUAAACCUUACAAAAGGGUGUGAAAUUGUGAAAUUGAGCUAAUCCCCUAAAUUUGGAUAUAAACUAACAAU
rnacentral:rRNA from 1 species